CCUAUUCUAAGACCAAAUUUACCGUUCUCCCAAAUCGUGGGAUCUAGACCACCGGCCAUCGUUUAGGCAACGGCGACCGGGUGAAACCCCUUUCCCCAGUUGAUCAUGUUCUAGCUCAACACUGCUCAAGAGAUCCAUCCUUUCAGGCGGCAACUGAUUUUUUUACUUUUUGGACUGAAGAAGUUCUCCCAGGUCGGGCAGAGUAUUGGGAAAACAGUCAUGGGAAGAUUCCAUCAACUCCAUUGCAUGAUUGAAUUUUGCCCCGCCUCCCAUACCUAGAAGAUUUACUCCACCUCUUCAACAUGUAAUUCCGAUCCAUUUUUACAUACAACCUAAGCACAGAAGAUGGAAUUUGGUAGCACUUACUUAAGCCUGAGAGUGGAAAACAGAGAAGGAAAAAAAAAAAACAAAUCAAACAAAUCUUCUCGCCGGCGACCUAUGAUGGCAGGGAUGGGAAGUACACUUCUCGCCGGAGAUGAAAGGAGAAGUAUAUGCGGGCAACUAUCCUGUCUAUCUUAGCUGUAACUCAUUUGAACCCGUUGUCGCAGGUGUAUGGAGAGGAGGAGAGAGAGAUAAGGAGAAUGAAAUGGUAAAAUGAUAAAGAGGGGUAUUUUUAGAAUAAUGAAAAUGUGUAACUAAUCAGUGUUUUACGCAUAAGGGCAAAAACAUCAUUUCAUAGUAAUCCUUAUCAUGACUGAUGGUAAGGGGUCUAAGUAUAAUUUGGUGAAAUAGAGGGGAUGAUUUUAUAAUUGUGACAUUCUCCAAGAGGUGGCGCUGUAAAUUUCUCUUUAGAAAAUGAAACUUACUUGGCAUCUUUUCUAUCUA